rnacentral:misc_RNA from 1 species
UAAGACCCUUCAAGGUGAAGGUUACCUACACAGUAACCAGCUGUUGCAGCAGCAUCAGAAGAACCGAUCCCGGUUGCAUGUGUAUCUCUAAUACGGCCUCCAACACCGGUUUCCGCACCAGGGUAAGGAGCAACAGCACAUGGAAAAUUGUGCGUCUCUGCUGUAAAUAGAAGAUCAAGUUCACGGGAGGAUAAGGACAGUGCGGAUGUCGAGCCUGGUAGUUCAG